rnacentral:rRNA from 1 species
AUUGAACGCUGGCGGCAGGCUUAACACAUGCAAGUCGAGCGGGGUGAUGGUGCUUGCACUAUCACUUAGCGGCGGACGGGUGAGUGAUGCUUAGGAAUCUGCCUAUUAGUGGGGGACAACAUCACGAAAGGGAUGCUAAUACCGCAUACGUCCUACGGGAGAAAGCAGGGGAUCACUUGUGACCUUGCGCUAAUAGAUGAGCCUAAGUCGGAUUAGCUAGUUGGUGGGGUAAAGGCCUACCAAGGCGACGAUCUGUAGCGGGUCUGAGAGGAUGAUCCGCCACACUGGGACUGAGACACGGCCCAGACUCCUACGGGAGGCAGCAGUGGGGAAUAUUGGACAAUGGGGGGAACCCUGAUCCAGCCAUGCCGCGUGUGUGAAGAAGGCCUUAUGGUUGUAAAGCACUUUAAGCGAGGAGGAGGCUCUUUUGGUUAAUACCCAAGAUGAGUGGACGUUACUCGCAGAAUAAGCACCGGCUAACUCUGUGCCAGCCGCCGCGGUAA